rnacentral:rRNA from 1 species
GUCUACGGCCAUGUCACCCUGAACAAGCCCGAUCCUGGGAGUCUGAUCUCGGAAGCUAAUCAGGGUUGGGCCUGGUUAGUACUUGGAUGGGAGACCACCUAGGAAGACCAGGUGCUGUAGGCA